CUUCGAGUUGAUAUCGAGAAAAUGCGUAGUGAACUUAGGUCUGGUUUGCAUUGAAGUAUAUAACAGAUUAGUAAGCCAAUUAUAUCCAGAUUAAUACUUCUUUCUUUAAUUUAAACUCACUGUCUUAAACAGAUAUGAAAUCGACAAGGUUAUUGCUGGGCAGCGCUUGGAUCUAAUCCUCAAGAGACGGCGCAUACGUCACAAGUUACGUGACAAGUUAGCCAAACAAAGUGCAGAAACCACAGAACUUAUUACCAAAAUCGAGAGGGAAAUCCUUGCAUUAAGGGCACAGCUAGAUGCAGCAAAAUAUGAUGCCAUAAAGUUCUGCAUCGCUACGGUUGUUUCUAUAUGUGCUGCUGCUUGUCAGAUUGCGGCUCUCACGUUCAGUCCCUCGCGUGUAGAAACGGCUGAGGAGAUCCCCAAGGACAAAUGAUUGAUUUACCAAUUCUAACCCUACAUACUAUGAUCUACAUGUACCUGACAAAAUGAAAGCAAAUGAGAAACUUAAAAGGCUUCAGCGAAGAAAAGAAAAUUGAUUACUUUGGUAAAUCAAUAAAAAUCUGCUACGGGAACGGGUGGAGAAAGUUCGUUAGCAUCCAUGGGAACGGUCUUCGUCAUCAUAGCAACCGCCCAACCGCCCAAGGGGGCCAAGAAGCCAAAUAAAACCCUUCUCUUCGCGGCCUAAGCAACAGGAAGAAGAAAGGUUGUCGAUAGCGAACGCGACAAUAUAUUUCCUUUUUUCGUUUUCAUCCCCCUCGAUCUCGAAUCGGACGGACGAGUUCUCACUUCGCGAUCCAGAUGUCUGCGGCGGCUAUCGCCUGCAGUAGAGGCGCCGCCGCGUUCGGGUUUCGUUGCUGGUCGCUGAUGCGGCUGCUGGCGGCGCAAGUCGGGUGCCCUCGGUCCAAUUUAUCGCUGCUGCAGCGCUUCACUUCGGACGAGAGCAACGGGAGUAGGGCUUGCCUUAUCGACACGCUCGCUCUGGUACUGCGCUACCUUAUCAGUGUUCGAUUGAUGGGACAACUACCUUAGGGCUUCCCCCAACCUGCAGUUUGCUGUGGUGAGUGGUUGACAGCCUCGUGCG